AAUAUUGGACAAUGGGCGCAAGCCUGAUCCAGCCAUGCCGCGUGAGUGAUGAAGGCCCUCGGGUUGUAAAGCUCUUUCAACGGGGAAGAUAAUGACGGUAACCGUAGAAGAAGCCCCGGCUAACUUCGUGCCAGCAGCCGCGGUAAUACGAAGGGGGCUAGCGUUGUUCGGAAUUACUGGGUGUAAAGCGCACGUAGGCGGAUUGGUCAGUUAGGGGUGAAAUCCAGGGCUCAACCCUGGAACGGCCUUUAAUACUUCCGGUCUAUAGUUCGAGAGAGGUGAGUGGAAUUCCAAGUGUAGAGGUGAAAUUCGUAGAUAUUCGGAAGAACACCAGUGGCGAAGGCGGCUCACUGGCUCGAUACUGACGCUGAGGUGCGAAAGCGUGGGGAGCAAACAG
rnacentral:rRNA from 1 species